GUCCUCUUGUUUAUAUAUGAGGUCUGACCUGCCCGGUGAAAAUUAAUUUUAACGGCCGCAGUAUUUUGACUGUGCAAAGGUAGCAUAAUCAUUAGUCUUUUAAUAGGGGGCUGGUAUGAAGGGUUUGACGAGGUGUUAACUGUCUCAUUUAAUUUGAGUUUAGAAUUUAACUUUUCAGUCAAAAGGCUGAAAUUAUAUUGGAAGACGAGAAGACCCUAUAGAGCUUUAUAAUUAAAUUUUUAAUUAUUUUUUGUUUAUUAUUUUUUAUUAUUACUUUAAUUAUUUUGUUGGGGUGACAAAAACAUAUGAUUAACUUUUUUAUUUAUUUAACAUUGAUUUAUGAAUAUUAGAUCCAUUAUUAUUGAUUGUUAGAUUAAGUUACCUUAGGGAUAACAGCGUAAUCUUCCUUCAGAGUUCAUAUUUACGGGAAGGCUUGCGACCUCGAUGUUGGAUUAAGAUAAUAGUUAGGUGUAGCCGCUUAAUACAUAGGUCUGUUCGACCUUUAAAUUCUU
rnacentral:rRNA from 1 species